rnacentral:rRNA from 1 species
UACGAAGGGGGCUAGCGUUGCUCGGAAUCACUGGGCGUAAAGCGCGCGUAGGUGGAUUGUUAAGUCAGGGGUGAAAUCCUGGAGCUCAACUCCAGAACUGCCUUUGAUACUGGCGAUCUCGAGUCCGGGAGAGGUGAGUGGAACUGCGAGUGUAGAGGUGAAAUUCGUAGAUAUUCGCAAGAACACCAGUGGCGAAGGCGGCUCACUGGCCCGGUACUGACGCUGAGGUGCGAAAGCGUGGGGAGCGAACGGG